UACGGGGGGGGCAAGCGUUGUUCGGAAUUACUGGGCGUAAAGGGUUCGUAGGUGGCCUACUAAGUCAUACGUGAAAUCCCUCAGCUUAACUGGGGAACUGCGUCUGAGACUGGAAGGCUUGAGUGCAGGAGAGGAACGCGGAAUUCCUGGUGUAGCGGUGAAAUGCGCAGAUAUCAGGAGGAACACCAAUGGCGAAGGCAGCUCGCUGGGACGUGACUGACGCUGAGACGCGAAAGCGUGGGGAGCAAACAGG
rnacentral:rRNA from 1 species